rnacentral:rRNA from 1 species
AUUGAACGCUGGCGGCAGGCCUAACACAUGCAAGUCGAGCGGAGCGGCGGACGGGCGAGUAAUGCCUAGGUAUCUGCCCGGUAGUGGGGGAUAACGUCCGGACACGGGCGCUAAUAUCGUAUCCUAUCAGAUGAGCCUAGGGGGGAUGUGCUAGUUGGUGAGGUAAAGGCUUACCAAGGCGACGAUCCGUAGCUGGUCUGAGUGGCUGAUCAGUCACACUGGAACUGAGACACGGUCCAGACUCCUACGGGAGGCAGCAGUGGGGAAUAUUGCACAAUGGGCGAAAGCCUGAUCCAGCCAUGCCGCGUGUGUGAAGAAGGUCUUCGGAUUGUAAAGCACUUUAAGUUGGGAGGCGUUACCAACAGAAGAAGCACCGGCUAACUUCGUGCCAGCCGCCGCGGUAAUAC